GACGAACGCUGGCGGCGUGCUUAACACAUGCAAGUCGAACGAUGACGCCCGAGCUUGCCCGGUCUGAUUAGUGGCGAACGGGUGAGUAACACGUGAGCAACCUGCACUUCAAUCUCGGAGAACCCCGGGAAAUCGCGGCUAAUACCGGAUAUGAGCUCCUGUCCCAUGGGGGGUGUUGGAAAGUUAUUCGGUGAAAGAUGGGCGCGCAGGCAAUCACUUUGUUUGUGAGGUAGUGGCACACCAAGGCGUUGACGGGUAGCCGGCCUGAGAGGGCGACCGGGCACACUGGGACUGAGACACGCCCCAGACUCCUACGGGAGGCAGCAGUGGAGAGUAUUGCACAGUGGGCGAAAGCCUGAUGCAGCGGCGCCGCGUGAGGGAAGACGGCCUUCGGGUGGUAAACCUCUUUCAGCAGAGAAGAAGCGAAAGUGACGGUACCUGCAGAAGAAGCGCCGGCUAACUACGUG
rnacentral:rRNA from 1 species